rnacentral:rRNA from 1 species
GACGUAGGGCGCGAGCGUUGUCCGGAUUUAUUGGGCGUAAAGAGCUCGUAGGCGGCUUGUUGCGUCGACCGUGAAAACCCGGGGCUCAACUUCGGGCUUGCGGUCGAUACGGGCGGGCUAGAGUUCGGUAGGGGAGACUGGAAUUCCUGGUGUAGCGGUGAAAUGCGCAGAUAUCAGGAGGAACACCAGCGGCGAAGGCGGCGCUCUGGGCCGGAACUGACGCUGAGGAGCGAGAGCGUGGGUAGCAAACAGG